rnacentral:tRNA from 1 species
GUCGGAAUAGCUCAGCGGGAGAGCGGCAAAACCACGUGUGGGUUCGAAUCCCACUUCUGCUG